CUUUUUGUUCCCUAUGUCUUGACAAGCAUUGCUGCCAUGGAUCCAGGUAAUGAAAAAUUAUAAACGGCGUAAUGAGACAGGGUCUGGAUCUCAAGUUGGAGAUUGGCACUGCUAUACCUGUUACACCUCCUUUCAUACAAUGUCCCUUAAUAUGUAAUAAUCUGUGUUGCCACACUAACUGUAGUUGACAAAAAUGGUUGUUACUCUGUGGUAUAUACCACCUAACUCCCAUAAAAGACUAUAUCAUUCCCAUUGCUCCCUGUCCCCUCUCCCCUCCAUUUGUUCCAGCUAAGUGCCCAUCUCUAUCAGGUCCGUGAACAAUUAUAGGGAGACCGAGUAUCUCUUCAGCGGAACCUGCCUAUGAUUCCUUUUGGAACUGCAGCUCGACCAUGAUCACCACCCCAACCCAGUUUUCACUGCUUUCCCAAUGUUCUAGGCAAUCAAUUUAUGAAGUAGAGCUUCAAUUCAUCAAGGGGAACAAUUGCUACCUUUAAGCCUGGAGGAGUCCCCUUACCUUGAUCUCCCAGAAACUAGAGAUUCCCCAAUUCUCCAUGUAUAUAGGUGCUAUUUUUAAAGGAUGGGUGUUCGGAUCAGACCUAUCUGGAGAUGUAUAAUGAGUGGGGGUUUAAGGAUGUUUCUGUAAAAUUUUGUGGGGGUUCUGUAUUGGACCCUCUGUGUUCGGGAGAUGAUUAGUUUAGCGAGGAAAAGACACGCCAGGGAGGAAAUAAGCUUUGUAUUGACCCCAUGCUGGGGGCCUGUGUAUCAAAGGUAGCAUUGUGCUCAUUAAAACUGGUUAUUCUCUCCAGCAUUAUUUGUCAUCUGAUGACUGAGGAAAGGGGCUAUAAACACUGAAAGGUCAGCUACGAUGAAAUUCCAGCAGAGAUAUCCAGCCAGGAUAUAGGAGCUUUGCUACACUCUACCAGUAUUUCCGAACAGUUUUUAAAUUUUGCAGGAAGGAAAAGGAAUGCCAUAUACAAGGUUAUUCACUAAAGUUAGAAUUCAAAGUGAAUUAAAGGGGAAUAUCAAAUGUAAGGCCAGAGUAGCCGAACUGGAAGCAUAGCUUUCAGAAUUGUUCCAGUUUAGCUAUAUUGACCUUGAAUUUGAAAUUCACUUUGAAUUCUCACUUUAGUGAAUAAAACUGAUAAUUUCUAAGUAAAAGUUUUAUCCCUUCAUUAUGUAUGUAAAGGGUGAAGAAAUAUAUGGAAAAUGAAAU